GAUGAACGCUGACAGAAUGCUUAACACAUGCAAGUCAACUUGAAUUUGGGUUUUUAACUUAGAUUUGGGUGGCGGACGGGUGAGUAACGCGUAAAGAACUUGCCUCACAGCUAGGGACAACAUUUAGAAAUGAAUGCUAAUACCUAAUAUUAUGAUAAUAGGGCAUCCUAUAAUUAUGAAAGCUAUAUGCGCUGUGAGAGAGCUUUGCGUCCCAUUAGCUAGUUGGAGAGGUAACGGCUCACCAAGGCGAUGAUGGGUAGCCGGCCUGAGAGGGUGAUCGGCCACAAGGGGACUGAGACACGGCCCUUACUCCUACGGGAGGCAGCAGUGGGGAAUAUUGGACAAUGGACCGAGAGUCUGAUCCAGCAAUUCUGUGUGCACGAUGAAGUUUUUCGGAAUGUAAAGUGCUUUCAGUUGGGAAGAAAGAAAUGACGGUACCAACAGAAGAAGUGACGGCUAAAUACGUGCCAGCAGCCGCGGUAAUACGUAUGUCACGAGCGUUAUCCGGAUUUAUUGGGCGUAAAGCGCGUCUAGGUGGUUAUAUAAGUCUGAUGUGAAAAUGCAGGGCUCAACUCUGUAUUGCGUUGGAAACUGUAUAACUAGAGUACUGGAGAGGUAAGCGGAACUACAAGUGUAGAGGUGAAAUUCGUAGAUAUUUGUAGGAAUGCCGAUGGGGGAAGCCAGCUUACUGGACAGAUACUGACGCUGAAGCGCGAAAGCGUGGGUAGCAAACAGG
rnacentral:rRNA from 1 species